AAGUUCUCCUUGCAAAUCCUGAACCACCACCCCCACAAUGAUCCCGAACCAAAACUGGACUUCCGCCAUUUCCCCCCUCUCACUCACCGUGAACAGACCAGCACGGCAGCGCCCAAGUCCUCCCAUAGAAAUAGUUCAGUUCUUAGGUGUUCUAACCAACACCAAAGUCUCUUCACUUUACCAAGGGAUCAACAAGUGAGGACUUUGUGGGUCACUUUUAUUUUUAACGGACCGGUGCCAGAAACACUGCCUCAGCAUUUAUACGUAUGUGCAUUUCAAACGAGGGUGCGUACAAUGCUGGAUUUGUUUCACGGCUCCUGUUGGAAAAAAGGACCUAUUCCUAAAGUCCGUCAUCCACUCACUGAAGAGGGCAAAUCCCAGUUGCCCACAUGCAAGGAGGCUGUCAAACAGAGAAAUCACUGCAGACUGUUGGUACACAGACAUCUGCUGCCCAGCUCAGGAGUGAAGUACCUUUUGUUUUGAUGAGGUGAUGGUGAGGACAGCCACAGCUUCCAUCUGGUAGAGGACUGCUUCCGCUCAGUCUUCCAAAUAGUGAUGAGAACAAGGAUCACCACAUCUCCCUGUUUACCCUACUUUCAUGCAUUUCGUCUGCAAGGCCCUGCAAAAGCUUCUCCUUCGUCCUCAAACCCCCAGACUUCUUAAUUAACUCAGUAACCUAUACAUUGCACAUUGGAGUGUGAAGGUAACAGUUUGUUCUAGCUUUGGAGUAGUGGUGUAUUUUUUUGGUUUACAAUAAAGUUGGCUUUAACUAUUUCA
rnacentral:lncRNA from 1 species